GAAAUCACCCAGGAAGGUUUUGACGCCAGAGUCAAAACCCUGCUGUCCAGCGCACAGAGAGAGGGGACAGCACAAGUCUUCAAAGCAGACACAUCAACUGAGAGCAGAGAUGCAAUGAUAGCAUCACUGUUUCAAAAAGGACUCAAACAGA